GGGUCAGUAGGUCGGUCGUGCCACCGGUACGUACUGGUCUCACUGAUUCCCCCUUCCUGAAGAACCGUAAUGCCAUUAAUUUGGUGUUGCGGGGAAACAGGACUGUUACUUUGAAAAAAUUAGAGUUUUUAAAGCAAGCUAACGCUUGAAUACAUUAGCAUGGAAUAAUGAAAUAGGACGAUCGAUCCUAUUUUGUUGGUUUCUAGGAUUGACGUA
rnacentral:rRNA from 1 species